UACGAAGGGGGCUAGCGUUGCUCGGAAGCACUGGGCGUAAAGGGGGCGUAGGCGGGUUUUUAAGUCAGGGGUGAAAUCCUGGAGCUCAACUCCAGAACUGCCUUUGAUACUGAAGAUCUUGAGUCCGGGAGAGGUGAGUGGAACUGCGAGUGUAGAGGUGAAAUUCGUAGAUAUUCGCAAGAACACCAGUGGCGAAGGCGGCUGUCUGGUCCGGUUCUGACGCUGAGGCGCGAAAGCGUGGGGAGCAAACAGG
rnacentral:rRNA from 1 species